rnacentral:rRNA from 1 species
UUUGGGAUUAGCAUCCUGUCACCAGGUAGCCGCCUUCUGUACCCCCCAUUGUAACACGUGUGUAGCCCCGGACGUAAGGGCCGUGCUGAUUUGACGUCAUCCCCACCUUCCUCACAUCUUACGACGGCAGUCUCUCUAGAGUCCUCAGCAUAACCUGUUAGUAACUAAAGAUAAGGGUUGCGCUCGUUAUGGCACUUAAGCCGACACCUCACGGCACGAGCUGACGACAACCAUGCAGCACCUUCACAACAGCCUUACGGCUAUACUGUUUCCAAUAUAUUCUGUUGCAAUUUAAGCCCGGGUAAGGUUCCUCGCGUAUCAUCGAAUUAAACCACAUGUUCCUCCGCUUGUGCGGGCCCCCGUCAAUUCCUUUGAGUUUCACCGUUGCCGGCGUACUCCCCAGGUGGAAUACUUAAUGCUUUCGCUUGGCCGCUUACUGUAUAUCGCAAACAGCGAGUAUUCAUCGUUUACUGUGUGGACUACCAGGGUAUCUAAUCCUGUUUGAUACCCACACUUUCGAGCAUCAGUGUCAGURACAGUCUAGUGAGCUGCCUUCGCAAUCGGAGUUCUUCGUGAUAUCUAAGCAUUUCACCGCUACACCACGAAUUCCGCCCACCUCUACUGUACUCAAGACUGCCAGUUUCAACUGCNAAUUUUACGGUUGAGCCGCAAACUUUCACAACUGACUUAACAAUCCACCUACGCUCCCUUUAAACCCAAUAAAUCCGGAUAACGCUCGGAUCCUCCGUAUUACCGCGGCUGCUGGCACGGAGUUAGCCGAUCCUUAUUCAUAUGGUACAUACAAAAUUCCACACGUGGAAAACUUUAUUCCCAUAUAAAAGAAGUUUACGACCCAUAGAGCCUUCAUCCUUCACGCUACUUGGCUGGUUCAGGCUCUCGCCCAUUGACCAAUAUUCCUCACUGCUGCCUCCCGUAGGAGUUUGGACCGUGUCUCAGUUCCAAUGUGGGGGACCUUCCUCUCAGAACCCCUAUCCAUCGUAGUCUUGGUGGGCCGUUACCCCGCCAACAAACUAAUGGAACGCAUCCCCAUCGAUAACCGAAAUUCUUUAAUAAAAAUAUCAUGCGA